CCAGGCUUUCUGGUACAGCUUGCAAGUCCAGCAUGUAUUGUUUGGGCAGCAAAUCAAGAGAGGCCCAAGAUGAAAUGAAUCAGCGUUACUGUUUCUUCCCCUACCCCAUCUGCCUUCCCGGAAAGUCUGAGAUGUGGAUGAAUGUUUUCAGUUCAUCCACGUCGGAGUGUGGGCCAGCACUUCAUCCCUUGCCAUGGCUGAGGAAUAGUCCAUCACGUGGACAGACAACAAUUUAUUUCUCCAUGCAUCAGGUGACAGACAUUUGGGUGGUUCCCACCUGACUCACUUCAUGAAA
rnacentral:lncRNA from 1 species